AGCCUCUGGAUGUGGACCUUGUUGCUGAUCCUGAUUUCCCUGCUGUGAUUUAUAACGUUAUUGACUUUGUGAGUGAGACCGAACAGGCCUCGGAUAUCACAUCAGACAUGAUUCAAGUCAGUAUGGCGGAGACUGAACAUCUUACUGCUGACACGGCCUCUUCUGACUUGCAGAAACCAGCUGAUGAAGAGGAGUUAAAAGCUUAAAUGGUCACGCAUCUGUCCCUUAAAAUCGAGGACACGUCUGAAGACGACAUCAUCUUCUUGACGGAGUGGCAGGUUUCCCCGGCCGAGGUGAGCGAGCCCGGUAGUAAAGAGUAGCUGCGGCUAGACUACUUCAUCAGUCGGUGCUCUUUUUUUAAAUUUAUUUUAUUUAGACAUAUUCAGAACAGUUUGUUCAGAAGCGACGGUAAAGAAAAUUCAUUACAGCUUCGUUUUGGUUUAAUAAAAGGUUGAGUUUAAAAGUGCAUGUGUUACGUGUUGUGAUGAGGAAAACUAUCGAAACAUCAUUUUGUUUAGUAGUGUCUCGUACUUUUCCUUCAUUUUAUAUAGCACAAAAUAGUGGACCCGGUUCUUGUUCUUUACAGGUCCACAUCAGAAUUUCAGUAAAAAAUAAACAAGGUGCAAGUUUCACUGGUGCUUUUGAGAUUAAACAAUGCACACACAAAACAUGUUUCAUUCCCUUUUUUUAUUGCCAUUUAUAAAUCAUAUGUAAAACGGAUAUAAAUUACACAAUAAUUAUUACAGUCAGGCUUUUCAUGUGCCAGUGUUUUAUCUUCCUAUAGUUCAUUUGCAUCUCAGGAUUGUUU